GAUGAACGCUGGCGGCGUGCCUAAUACAUGCGAGUCGAGCGAACGGACGAGAAGCUUGCUUCUCUGAUGUUAGCGGCGGACGGGUGAGUAACACGUGGAUAACCUACCUAUAAGACUGGGAUAACUUCGGGAAACCGGAGCUAAUACCGGAUAAUAUUUUGAACCGCAUGGUUCAAAAGUGAAAGACGGUCUUGCUGUCACUUAUAGCUGGAUCCGCGCUGCAUUAGCUAGUUGGUAAGGUACCGGCUUACCAAGGCAACGAUGCAUAGCCGACCUGAGAGGGUGAUCGGCCACACUGGAACUGAGACACGGUCCAGACUCCUACGGGAGGCAGCAGUAGGGAAUCUUCCGCAAUGGGCGAAAGCCUGACGGAGCAACGCCGCGUGAGUGAUGAAGGUCUUCGGAUCGUAAAACUCUGUUAUUAGUGAAGAACAUAUGUGUAAGUAACUGUGCACAUCUUGACGGUACCUAAUCAGAAAGCCACGGCUAACUACGUG
rnacentral:rRNA from 1 species